UUUAUCGGAGAGUUUGAUCCUGGCUCAGGACGAACGCUGGCGGCGUGCCUAAUACAUGCAAGUCGAGCGGACAGAUGGGAGCUUGCUCCCUGAUGUUAGCGGCGGACGGGUGAGUAACACGUGGGUAACCUGCCUGUAAGACUGGGAUAACUCCGGGAAACCG
rnacentral:rRNA from 1 species